GACGGAGGAUGCAAGUGUUAUCCGGAAUCACUGGGCGUAAAGCGUCUGUAGGUGGUCAAAUAAGUCAACUGUUAAAUCUUGAGGCUCAACCUCAAAAUCGCAGUCGAAACUAUUAGACUAGAGUAUAGUAGGGGUAAAGGGAAUUUCCAGUGGAGCGGUGAAAUGCGUAGAUAUGCGGAGGAACACCGAUGGCGAAGGCAGCCUCCUGGGAUAACACUGACGCUCAUGCGCGAAAGCGUGGGGAGCAAACAGG
rnacentral:rRNA from 1 species